rnacentral:lncRNA from 1 species
AACAAGAGAGUAUUUGACAAGCAUUGCUCACAGCAGAAUGUAAAGUUUAUAAGAUCUAAACGGAUAACCCUAGCAUUGCACAUUUAAGCUUGCGUCGUAACAUAUCACACAUGGAGUAGGAAACUUGGUAAACUCAGUUAGUAGCCCUUUUUGUUGCUUACUUGUUAGUGCUUAUUUCGAAAGAAAGCUGAAGAAAUGUGGGUAAACAUCCACUAAAUCAAUUAGGGAACAUGUGACUCAAGGCAUAUAACACAAACAGGUUCAGCAAACAUUAUUGGUUUACCAAAGUCCACCAGGAAACAUGUGCAACAAAGAAAAACAGAAAAGCAAGUCAUCUUGCAGAGAAGUAGAAGUCAACCACAGAAAUUUCUAAUCUUCUGUAAAGCACUUGCGCAGUCAAAUACAGAAUAAUGGAAUCUCAGUUUACCUACUUAAAAACCACUUGAUAUGAAAGGAAACUUUUCUACAAAGUAAUCUUGCAGAAUAAGCUCCAGAAGCUGCCAAUACUCCAUCAUGACUUGGAUGAUUUUUCGAAUCCAGAAUUAAUGGCUUAUAAUGCAUCUGAAAAGGUAGAAUACAGCUGAAUCAGUUCACUCUUGCGCACGUCAUUAACAUGUAUUAAGGAAUACUGCAAAAUCUAGACAAGAAUGGAGAAACUAAUUACAAACAGGAAAAAAAGAAGUAUUCCAUGGAUAGGCAAACUCUCUAUCGAUCAUACAUGUAUGACAAGCAGAAGUAACGGCUAUACGUUGCCGGUUGAAUCCACCCACAGCAUAAAUAAAGAUAUACCAAGUAGUUUCAUUCUCUGACACAAAAUCUGCAGAAUAGUUUGUCAUGAGGUUUCUAACUAUGAUUGAUAAACAUAAAUAGAGGUUUAUUAGGACGGAUUCUACUAACUGCAUCGCCGACACGGGGAUGAUGCACGGCUGUCAACUGCGAAAGAUGCCAAAGCACACAAAUAAAAGAGGCCACUGAGCCCAACCCGUGACACAGCACCAAACAGUGCACACGGACGAAAAGAUGGUCUCCGAGUCCAGUCGUGACCCAGCACCGAUAAGUGCGCACGGAACAAAACAAAUGCAGUGAAAUAAUCCCCUACGAGGGCACAGUCGUAAAAAAAUAGUGCAAUUGCAUCCCCUGGGUUGGCAUGUGCUAUACAUUAGCACGGGGCUUUUUGUUCAAAUUCCUUUUUUAAAGAUUUUUUCAACACAACACCUCUUGUAUCCUUGCCUUGUCGGUUGUCGCUCAUCACUUGAACAACUCCAGCACCGCCACCAUCGCCGGGAUGCAGCUCUAACAGCAAAAACCGGAAGCCAACCAUGGCGACUAGCGUGUCUGGCUGCGGCGGCCAUGGAGAGGAGCGCUUGAAGCCAGCCAUGGUGUUCAAUCGCAGCUGCCAUGAGGUUCAUGAGCCAUAUCCGGACCUCCUGCAGCAAUCAGAAUCGAGAAAAAUUUCAGUAACAUAUUGCUGUCUCUGGAUUCGGAAAUGCCUAAAGCAAGAAUUACAUCGAACUUCAAAUAAGAAACACGGACUUCCCUUAUUCAAAAUGAAAGUAAUUUCCAACGGAAAUAACAGCCCUACAAAUUCAAAUAAGAAACACCAAGGAAAAAAAGCCUGCCUAUGAAACGGCCCUGUUCCGUUCCUUGGAGUCUGCCUAUGCUCUCCGCGCUCUUGCCCUUCGCCAUAUUAGAUCAAUGUUCAGCAUCAGUAAUAGUACGGCAGCAGAAUUUUAACUUGCCUAAAAUAAAGUCUACUGCUUGGUGAGAAAAUGUAGCAGUAGCAAACGAAACCUCAAGCAGAUUAAACAUUUACUAUAGUACAUGGACUUCUCGUAACCACAGAAUUACCAGGCCAUCAGUAACAGCUCGGCAGAACAUGAGAAAAUGUCAAAGACAAGGAUCACCAUUUUCAGGAAAUAAAAACAGUGAGCAUAUUACAGAAGUUAGAAGUAAUGUAAACAGUGAGCAUACAGCUAGCUCUAGUGUCACCAACUAGGAUAAUUACCGAUGCUUCACAUUCACUUCCAUGUCAAUCACUUAAGUGGAGAUAAAACUGAAACUUCCUUGCUAUAACAACCACAACAUAUUAACAAAAAUGAGCGAUGCAGCUCUAUACCUACUAAGAAAAUCCAUCAACACGCACACACUCAUCAGAUUCCGACACAAUAUAUAUGUAUCCCACAUGACUGAGUUACAUGUGUGGAUGUGCUUCCAUACAGCCAGCAAUCAAGACAUCCUCAUGUCCCUUAAGCAAGACAGGACUUGCACAAUGGUUGAAUGUGAAAGAUAUUCUCGUGAAAAUAUCUCUCGCGGCCUGCAGUGAGAAAAUAGAACAAAUUAUCCAACUGCACAGCAUAUUCCUAUUCUUGUCUAGCUAUUAAAAUGUAAAACAAAAAAUAAUUAUCAGGUGUUCAUAGUCUAAAAUCUGUUGCUUAUACUAUUUACCUGUAUCAACAUGUACUGAUAAAAUGCCAUGGAUAUUUGCACAGCUAUCAAGCAAAACAGCAUCAUAUAUAACUUCCAUAUUUGCACAGCUAUCAACUAAAGCAGCAUUAUAUAUCAACCCAGCAUUUUUUUAAGAAUCUUCUACUAACAGAAAUAAUUCUUUAGGAUAGUGCUAACCAGAUCUCUGUAGCCAAAUAAUAAGAGCCUGAGUCAUGUCCAAAUUACCACAAUCAGAGAACCAACAUUAUCCUUUUUGCUUACUAGUUUCAUUAUAUAUGCAAAACAUAUGGAUAAGCAACCUGGAAAUAUUCGCGCAUUUCAUCAUGAUGGCAAAGAAGUAGUGAUCUUUACCUUGAUCAAACAAGGAGAGCAGUUACUUCAUUUGCUAAUCCUAUUCCAUUCUAGCCGGUGCAUGCAGAGUCAAAUUCCAACUAAUAGUAUCAUCAUUUUAAGAUCUGUAACCUCCUCUUA